GGCCGGAUCCUGCCCAUUCUAUACGUUAAUGCUCUUUUCUCUCCGGCUGCAGGGAAGCAGGCCAGCGGAUAAUUACCCCUCACUGCAAUCCGCAGAGCUGGCCUAAUCCGAAAGCUCAAGUGCCCGAUGAAGGCUGAAGCGAGGCACCGACUCGAAGUUAGGACAAUUGAGCUGUCGAUUGUUUGGUGGAGAAACAGGGAAGAGAUGCGGGCUCCAACACCACCUUUUUGGCAGAGCACUGGGUGACAAGAAAGAGUUCUGAUUUUCUCUCACGUCUCCCAGCCGCCAGAGAAAGGUGUGAUCAGAUGGUCUUCUACGACAACAGAAACAUUGCCGGAGAUCCAGCAAAGAAACACUAAAUGAUUAAACUUCUCCUGACGCCAAACUUGCACGCAGAGAGGUUAAGGAUCAGAAACACGGACAGUGUUUGGGGGAGCCGCAGUUGAUGGGCACGGCCGUGUCUCCUCGCAGGAGACCCCUGAGAAUGGGAAAUUAGCAGUCGAAAUCUGCUAGUGGGGACUGGAUCCCACAAAGCCCACGCGUUGGGAAGGCUGAGUGUCUCUCUCUCGCCUAUUCAAUCUGCCCAGGCUGGUUGCAGCGAAUAAAUAGAGUCAUUGUGGAGCCCAUACACAAACCGACCCAACUCCCUCCCCCACCCCUUCUCUCCCUCCCCCCGUCCCUUUAUGCUUAAACGCACACAAAUCUGCGGCCGCUUUGCACCAAGAGGAGCCCAAAGUUUUCUUCCCUUUACUGUCCAGCGCCUGUGGGAAAGGUUUAUCCCCACGGAUGGAAUAUGUACUUGUGUCGCAGAGCCGGGGGUUCACGCUGGGUGAGGGCAAGCAGGAGCCUGCCGGGAGCGGGACCCAUCCUGCCCUGUCCCCGCGGAACAUAACGGUGCAAAGUAGCCAGAUGCAUUAAACAGCCACAAAAGGGGCCGAGAGGGACGGGGGGCGGGGGAUGGGGGGAAGAUUCGCUUAAGUUUCUGGUGGAAAACUUAAAUGCGGCCGUCUCUCCCUCUGCCAGCGUCGCUGCAAGGUGAAAUCCAUUUGGCCGCGUCCCUGCCGGCGGGGCGGGCGGCAGCCCCGCGCCCGGGGAACUCGCUCCGUGCAAGAGAAUUUGCAACCUUGAAAGCAUAUUUUUCUUCCAGCUAUGGUGGCACUUAGAUGAUAAUGUAGGCAAUGAAACUGGGGAGAUUUAUAUCUUUUGGAAAGUAGGACGAGCCAGAUGGUAAUAGCGUCAUUAACAAACAAACUUAGGAUCUGCAAGUGAAGCUUGAAAUUG